rnacentral:rRNA from 1 species
UACGUAGGGUGCGAGCGUUUGUCCGGAAUUAUUGGGCGUAAAGGGCUCGUAGGCGGUUUGUCGCGUCGGGAGUGAAAACCAGGUGCUUAACACCUGGCUUGCUUUCGAUACGGGCAGACUAGAGGCAUGCAGGGGAGAACGGAAUUCCUGGUGUAGCGGUGAAAUGACGCAGAUAUCAGGAGGAACACCGGUGGCGAAAGGCGGGUCUCUGGGCCGAUAUUGACGCUGAGGAGCGAAAGCGUGGGGAGCGAACAGG